rnacentral:lncRNA from 1 species
GUGCCUCUGUGGAUGGAUUUAACUUUGGCAGUGAUACAAAUAACACAUUCUCUACUGGAGAGUGUGUUCACAGAGAAGGAGAGUGGAUGACAAGAUCUGUAAGGAGAAGAGAGCAGCUCUGAGGCAGUUUGUUAGCAGGCAAUUUACAUUCUCAGAAUCUGUUCCAGUGCCAGCCAAAGUCAAUGACAGCCUUCACUGUCUUCAAGGGUUUUUAGAUGAGGCUCCAAUUCUUGAAUGUGAUGACAUAAAGGUCCUAAUCAAUGCACCAGAUCUGUAAUCACAAAAGAGCAGGUCUGGAUGUAUAGAUUCAUAUGACUGUCCUAAGCCAAGAUCACAUUCUCACUUACCAAGUACUUGCUGAACUAAAGGAGAUCAUAUAAAUGCUCCGUAAUUCUGCAACAUCCUUUGGCAACUGUUUCAAUUUGUCAGAAAUGCUCAGGAAAUUAAAUGUGAGGAAGUCUACUGAAGCUGCUUUAGAAGGAAGAUACAGCACACCAGCCAGUUCACUCUGUUCAGCUCCUUCCUGACUUCAAAUAACUCCACUAAACCUGCAAGGUAAGGCAUAGUCUUCAAUUAAAACAUGUGGACUCUUCCCUAACUGAUUAUAUUUAUCCAGGUGUCUGUUUUUGUGAUAUUAGCAUGUUACUGAAACCAAGGACAGGCAUCAGGAUUCCAUGUUUGGACUUUCAUGAUUCUCGGUUUUUGUGUUAAGUCAAUAGCAUAUCUGACAUCUUUAUGUGUGUGAGGCAGGUUUAAGAACAUUAUCCACCACUUUCAGUAAUCGAAGCGUUUCAUUGGUGAGCUCUUUCAGGGCUAUUGGCUGACCACCAUCUUCAUCCUGACAAUUUGCUACUUUUGUCCAUUUUCACGAGGACAAAACUACACUCAUCUAUUUUACAGUCAAUUCAGUAUCACACAGAUUUUGUAAUGAGGUUUCCAACAAAAAAGAGUCCAAGCAGGGGAAUUGUUCCCUUUUUUUGUAGUUUGUGUAUCAAUGCUAAGGUGCUGUUUAGCUUCUUGGUUAUUGCUUCACAGAAGCUGAGCAUUCGUUUCACAUCCUGAUCAUUCGCAG